AUUGAACGCUGGCGGCAGGCCUAACACAUGCAAGUCGAGCGGAUGACGGGAGCUUGCUCCUUGAUUCAGCGGCGGACGGGUGAGUAAUGCCUAGGAAUCUGCCUGGUAGUGGGGGACGACGUUUCGAAAGGAACGCUAAUACCGCAUACGCCCUACGGGAGAAAUCAGGGGAACUUCGGGCCUUGCGCUAUCAGAUGAGCCUCGGUCGGAUUAGCUAGUUGGUGGGGUAAUGGCUCACCAAGGCGACGAUCCGUAACUGGUCUGAGAGGAUGAUCAGUCACACUGGAACUGAGACACGGUCCAGACUCCUACGGGAGGCAGCAGUGGGGAAUAUUGGACAAUGGGCGAAAGCCCGAUCCAGCCAUGCCGCGUGUGUGAAGAAGGUCUUCGGAUUGUAAAGCACUUUAAGUUGGGAGGAAGGGCAGUAAGCUAAUACCUUGCUGUUUUGACGUUACCGACAGAAUAAGCACCGGCUAACUCUGUGCCAGCAGCCGCAGUAA
rnacentral:rRNA from 1 species